GGGAGUAUAGCUUAGUGGUAGAACACGUGCUUGGUGUGCACAAGUUCCUGGGUUCAAUCCCCAGGGCCUCCA
rnacentral:tRNA from 1 species